rnacentral:tRNA from 1 species
GGCUGUGUGGCUCAAUGGCAGAGUGUUGGUUUUCGGCACCAAAGGUUGUGGGUUCGAGUCCCAUCGCGGUCG